AUAGAGUGGGUGAUGAAACCUCGAAGGUGCCCACGCAGGGCUCUCAGGCAGGGCAAAACUCUAGAAGAGGAAAGAGCCGUGUGUGGGUCCCCUCGGCGGCCUCCUUGUCAGCAAAUCAGAGGCCAUCUUACAAGCUCGUUGUUAUUUUUCUGAGCCCAGCAGCCCCUGGCAUUUUCCAUAAUGCCGAUGAUGCAGCAAUCUGAUUAGCUGCUCUGUGGAAUAAGACGUCCAUGUCCAGAAGCACGUGUCUUCUGUAGCAUUCGUCCAUGUAGUCACGUCUCCUUGAAUGAGUCAGCUAUUUCUUCCUGAACAUGGCAGCAGUUUGUACGUCCAGGUGGCACAGUGUCCCUGCUUGCGUCUUACAUCUCCUGACCCGGGUUGAAAGGUUGAGGUUUGGAAGCACAUGCAUAUUUCAUUGGAUUCUCCUAAGAAUCAAAUGGGAGAGUGUAAAGGGCCAGCACAUAAUGAGGACUCCACCAAGGUCCAUGCACUCCUUCCCUCAGCUGUGCCCUCGGCAAUUCCAUCCGAGGCCUUCCUGCUUCAUUGCUAAAUGUGGGAAGCAGAAAGUCCUUUUUAAAGUUUGCUUUCUUGUUAAGGAAUAAGUGUGCUAAUAACUUUGUUAAGCCCUAUCCUCUGUAGCUGUUAGAUAUGCUGUGCUUACAGGCACGUAGUACAUUCUGUGUCCUUGUACUUUAACCAAGAUGUCUGUGCUGGACAUGCUCACAGGCAUGGCCCAGCUCUCCAUUGCUUUUACCUGUUUAGAAAAGUUUUAAGUUGUUAGCCAAUCGGGUUUUAGUUUAGAUUGUGAGGUCUGGCUCUAGCCAAUGGAGAUCAGAUGCAGCAGUAAGGAUGACCCCAAAUGCGUAAGGGAUAAAGUUGUGUGUUUUCCUUUGUUCUUUGUACUCUCUUGGCAAGAUGGCUACCGAGGGUCCCCUUCCUGCAUUCCAGGAAGUAAAAAUUGAGUUGCUGAAAGAUCCAUUGUCUCAGUGCUAAUUCUUCUUUGCAGCACUGAGCAUCUAUUUCAAACAUCUAUUUCCAAGAUUGCUGUGAAUUUUCCAUGCCACCUUUCAUAGGGCAUCCCAAGCCCUCCAUCCAUCAGUGGAGAAAUCACGACAUGCUGUCUUUAAAAUAAGGAUGGCUCUAGGUAUGCUGCAGGGCCGUUGUAUGGUCCAGAGAACAGACCAGCUUUUGAUCACCUUGGCUUCUAAGGUCAGUGCACACCUAUGGGAGGGCUGGGGAAACUGCAGCCCUGCUCCUGGAAUGACGGACCAGACCAUGCUGAUGCUGGGUCUCAGAAAUGUGGCCCAUGCCGGUGUCAGCUGCCUGCAGGGAGGACUGAAUCCUGCCUUCUGCAGCUCACCAGGGGAUGUGCUGUGCACUUUUGGCUGCUAAACAUAUUUUGCUUCACGUCCUGAUCCUUCUCAUCAUCUCUUUCCUCCCGUACAUUUUGAGCAUACCUUUGUGCUUUUCUUCCUUGACAUGGCUUCCCUGCUUGGUGUCCUCCCUUGCCCUGUGUCAGUGUGGAACUUGUGUGGGCCAGCUGAGCUGUGUGCAUUCUCCAUACCCACACUGCUGAGAAUUUCUGGAGAAUCCCCCCACCCCCGUGUGGAUUAGUAUCACUAUAUGUUCCUGGCUUCCCUGGGCCCUCAGCGAUGCCUGCAGUGUUUCUAAGAUUCCUGCAGGGAACAACCUUCCCCUUUGCCCCAGCGACCUUCAAACCCGCUUGAUCUCUGCAAUUUGUGUGCCUUUAAAUGUGAGAGAGAAAGCUAGGAACCAACAAAGGCAACCCCAUCAAGGGCACUGAAGAGACAGCAGGGAAGAAAUCCGGACAAGAAAAGACCAUUCCCUGUCCUCCUGCAGCGUUUCCUCUAGUGGAAGGAGACAGGGAAUAAAUAAAGAGGGAAAAUGUGGCAUAUAUACACCACGGAAUGCUGUUCGGCCAUGAAAAGGAAGGAAAGAAUGUCUUUUGCAGCAACUUGGAUGGAGCUGGAGACCGUUAUGCUAAGUGAGGUAACUCGGGAAUGGAAAACCAAAUGUCUCACUUUUUAGUGGGAGCUAAAGCUGUGAGGACACAAUGAGAAUGGUACAAUGGACUCUGGGCACUCGGGGAAAUGGGGGAGUGGGCUGAGGGAUAAAAGACUCCACACUGAGUACAGCAUAUACUGCUCAGGUGACAGGGGCACCAAAAUCUUAGGAAUCACCACUAAAGAACUUAUCCAAGUAACCAAAAAACCACCUGCACCCCAAAAACUAUUGAAAUUAAAAAAAUUAUAAAAAGAGGUAAAUGACAUUGUAUGUAAAUGGCAAAGUGUUGUGGACAAGACUAAGACGUGAGAUGGGAGGCAGGGAGCCCGGC